GGAAGCUAUGGCAUGCAUAACCAUGGUUUGACAAGCCCAGCAAAGACAGACAGGGUCCUGCCCUCAAGGCUGCCUGGGGCAGCUUCAGGACCUGGACCCUUGUUUACAAAUCAGAAGCACCCCUGGGAGAAGAUGAGGACAUGGACACGACCAGGACUCAGGGGCUGGGCCAGAGUCAGAGGUGGCUGUCUUGCAAAAGGCCCAGGAUUCCCCGUGGAUGUUCCAGGUCUGCUGACUCUCCAGCCUUAUGUUCUCCGCCGGCUAGACUUCAGAUGACAGCCCCUGUGAGCGGUCCCUGGAGCUCGAGUUCCCAACCGCAGGCAGCACGGGGAGUGGGCUGUGUGUGGUGCCCUUCAGCCUGGGUUCUCACAGCUGUUUGCAUCAACAGUGCUUUUCCUUCAAGGUCCCGGCCAGGCAGCUUAGAGAGCCGCAGGGAUGCUUCCAGUGACCGCUCACCUCGCACCUGAAGGGCCCAGGCCUGGGAGUUUUCACGGAUUUGGGUUCAGAUCCCUUCUCCUCUCUGACCAGCUCUGAGCACCUGGGCGAGCUACCCAUCCUCUGAUCUGGAGUACCUGCAGCUUCCAGAUGGGGACAGGGCUGGGAGUUCCGGUUCAUCGUGUUCAGAACACACGGGGUUUCUCCGACCCAGCCUGCUCCACCGCAGACCCGAGAGCUUCCACAGUGAGGACCUGAUGCCCAGCAGGGACACAGCACUCUGCCCUGCCCCGUGAUGCUAGCACUCCAGGACACAGUAUCCUCAGCCACCAGGAGUACCCGCCACCCAGAAUGGGCCUCUCCACCAGGAGACAUCCAGAAGAGGGGUGUGGCCCAGCCCCAGGCCUGGGGGUCCCUGUGCCACCGGAGCAGAGGAUGGUCACCCUGGAGUAGUUCCUGGAGGAGCAUGACCAGGCUCCCCCUACUCUGAUUGUGGCCCAGGAUCACUCUUUCCUCACUCUCCCCUCAGAUGGACCUGGACCAGAGGGGAGACCUGGACAGCAAAGUCACAGAAAGGGAUGGGGUGGGGCUGGCAACCUGACUGCAGAGCUGGCUGGAUGGGGACAUAACCACUAGCCAGAAAGUGACUGUACUGGGGGCCCGCCCAGACCUGGGAGGCUGUUCACUCUAUCUGUGCAGGGAGCGGCAGAAAUGCCAACAUGGACGGUUAAACCAUGCAGUGUCUGUUGCAGUGACUCUAUGCUGCCGCUGGGCAGGAGGUAGUCCUAGGCCAUCUGUCAAUAAACAGGCAAGGCUGUGCUCCAAUGA